rnacentral:rRNA from 1 species
CGAACUCUGGUAUUGAUUGGUGCUUGCAUCAUGAUUUACAUUUGAGUGAGUGGCGAACUGGUGAGUAACACGUGGGAAACCUGCCCAGAAGCGGGGGAUAACACCUGGAAACAGAUGCUAAUACCGCAUAACAACUUGGACCGCAUGGUCCGAGCUUGAAAGAUGGCUUCGGCUAUCACUUUUGGAUGGUCCCGCGGCGUAUUAGCUAGAUGGUGGGGUAACGGCUCACCAUGGCAAUGAUACGUAGCCGACCUGAGAGGGUAAUCGGCCACAUUGGGACUGAGACACGGCCCAAACUCCUACGGGAGGCAGCAGUAGGGAAUCUUCCACAAUGGACGAAAGUCUGAUGGAGCAACGCCGCGUGAGUGAAGAAGGGUUUCGGCUCGUAAAACUCUGUUGUUAAAGAAGAACAUAUCUGAGAGUAACUGUUCAGGUAUUGACGGUAUUUAACCAGAAAGCCACGGCUAACUACGUGCCAGCAGCCGCGGUAAUACGUAGGUGGCAAGCGUUGUCCGGAUUUAUUGGGCGUAAAGCGAGCGCAGGCGGUUUUUUAAGUCUGAUGUGAAAGCCUUCGGCUCAACCGAAGAAGUGCAUCGGAAACUGGGAAACUUGAGUGCAGAAGAGGACAGUGGAACUCCAUGUGUAGCGGUGAAAUGCGUAGAUAUAUGGAAGAACACCAGUGGCGAAGGCGGCUGUCUGGUCUGUAACUGACGCUGAGGCUCGAAAGUAUGGGUAGCAAACAGGAUUAGAUACCCUGGUAGUCCAUACCGUAAACGAUGAAUGCUAAGUGUUGGAGGGUUUCCGCCCUUCAGUGCUGCAGCUAACGCAUUAAGCAUUCCGCCUGGGGAGUACGGCCGCAAGGCUGAAACUCAAAGGAAUUGACGGGGGCCCGCACAAGCGGUGGAGCAUGUGGUUUAAUUCGAAGCUACGCGAAGAACCUUACCAGGUCUUGACAUACUAUGCAAAUCUAAGAGAUUAGACGUUCCCUUCGGGGACAUGGAUACAGGUGGUGCAUGGUUGUCGUCAGCUCCUGUCCUGAGAUGUUGGGUUAAGUCCCGCAACGAGCGCAACCCUUAUUAUCAGUUGCCAGCAUUAAGUUGGGC